rnacentral:rRNA from 1 species
UACGUAGGGUGCGAGCGUUGUCCGGAUUUAUUGGGCGUAAAGAGCUCGUAGGCGGUCUGUCGCGUCGGAUGUGAAAACCCAGGGCUCAACCCUGGGCCUGCAUUCGAUACGGGCAGACUAGAGUGUGGCAGGGGAGACUGGAAUUCCUGGUGUAGCGGUGAAAUGCGCAGAUAUCAGGAGGAACACCGGUGGCGAAGGCGGGUCUCUGGGCCAAUACUGACGCUGAGGAGCGAAAGCGUGGGGAGCGAACAGG